rnacentral:rRNA from 1 species
CCCUUAGAUGUUCUGGGCCGCACGCGCGCUACACUGUUCGACGCAGCGAGUCUUAACCUUGACCGAAAGGUUUGGGUAAUCUUCAGCAAAGUCGAACGUGAUGGGGAUCGAUCAUUGCAAUUAUUGAUUGUGAACGAGGAAUUCCUAGUAAGUGCAAGUCAUCAGCUUGCGCUGAUUACGUCCCUGCCCUUUGUACACACCGCCCGUCGCUACUACCGAUUGAAUGGUUUAGUGAGAUCUCUGGAUUGACGCUGGCUAGGGGGCGACCCUUGGCCAGGCUGUCGAGAAACUGCUCAAACUUGAUCAUUUAGAGGAAGUAAAAGUCGUAACA